rnacentral:lncRNA from 1 species
CAUUUCAGACAGAAGUAGAGUACGGUAAACAAAAGAGGAACUAUUCAAGAGGCAGCGUACAGCAGGUGAUAGGAGAUGAAGGAUCUCUGUUGUGAUUGACUGAAUAGUAUUAUUGUGACAAAGGAUACAAAAGCACUUAACGCAAUCAGACCCCCUUUCAUUCCGUGUAUGGAAUAAUUUUCAGUUCCCAGUUAUAUUCAGGUAAAAGAGAAAUAAAUAUUUCUUGUAUGUAAAUUAUUUAUAUGUU